rnacentral:rRNA from 1 species
AGAGUUUGAUCAUGGCUCAGGAUGAACGCUAGCUACAGGCUUAACACAUGCAAGUCGAGGGGAAACGAUAUUGGAAGCUUGCUUCCGAUAGGCGUCGACCGGCGCACGGGUGAGUAACGCGUAUCCAACCUGCCCACCACUUGGGGAUAACCUUGCGAAAGUAAGACUAAUACCCAAUGACGUCUCUAGAAGACAUCUGAAAGAGAUUAAAGAUUUAUCGGUGAUGGAUGGGGAUGCGUCUGAUUAGCUUGUUGGCGGGGUAACGGCCCACCGAAGGCUACGAUCAGUAGGGGUUCUGGAGAGGAAGGUCCCCCACACUUGGAACUGAGACACGGUCCAAACUCCUACGGGAGCA